CUAACCCUAAACAUUAUUCAACUCAUUUUCUCUUCUCCUUCCUUCCGCCUCCUCCCUUCCUCUUCUCCGGCGAGCUCGAGCAGCACCCAGGCGAGCGAACCAGAGCUCCGGCCAGCAGCACCAGGCGAGGCAGUGCAGCAAGCAGCAACCAGCACUGUCUUCUCUCCACCAGCAACAGCAGCAACCAGACGACGCCACCAGCAAACCUCCAUCGCUGACAGCAGUUCCGACCAGCAACAGCAGCAGCCGACGAAGACAGCUGGCAGCAGCUCCAGAUCCAGCCAGCAACACCAACGCCACCAUCAGCUCCAGCCGGCGACAAAAGCAGCAGCUCCACGCACUGGCAACAGCAGCAAGGUCCGCUGCUUUCUCUCCCUCUUCUAGUCCUCAGCGAGCAGCGACGACAACAACAACAACUCCGGCGAAGUCAGCUCGAGGUCCUAGUCAUCUGAGAAAACAGAUCUAAACAGAUCUGUGUGGGUUCGUUUUCGUUUUAAUAUUCUCUUAAAUUGCCUAUUAUGAUCAUUAAUCUAUCAUUACAUGACUGCUCUAUACGGAAUUCUAUAGUAUCGUUAUCGUUAGAAUCAUGUUCUUGUUUUAAGCAUAAGAUAAAUCGGGAUUUGCUUGAUCUUAUGGACUGUUCUUAAGGAUUUUCUGAAUUCUGAAAGUAUGUGUAUUUGUAGUUGUGUUGAAAUGGCAUGCUCUCCUUAAGUUGGUCGAGUGUAACUUUGAUAUUGAUAUACCUCUGAAAUUUAGCAUUUGAUUGCAUAUGGUAGUAAUAGUUUUUUAAUUGAAAUCACCGUUUCUUAGAAUUGCUUAUAUAUAUUAUCAUCCAUUGGGAUUGAUUUGAUAAUAAUCACCUUAGUUGAUUAAGUUAGCAUCUUGACUAAUUCCUUAAUUUGCUAAAAUAAUUAAUUACUAGUUCAGGGCUUUCUUUCGCUAUUAGGACGAAAUUUAGUUUUCCAUAAAUUGUUGUUGUCUAUGCUUAAUUUGGGGGUAAUUUACUGGAAUCCUCUCUUUGCCUAUGGCAAGAAUAAAUUAAUAAAUAAAGCAUGUGAGUUUUAAUUAUGGUGAUAGUUAUUUCUUUCCUUAUAAAAUUAUUUGUGUUGAUUUUAAAUUAAUACAUCCUUGCCUUAUUUAUUUAUAGACAUAUUCUUACUUAUUCUAUUUUGGUAAAAUUUUGACCGUAUCAUGAGGUACUAGUAAUUUGCUUUUAGUCUUUAUUUUGGUAGCUAACAUUUUGAUAUGUUUCCUUACCUUAUGCCUGCAGACUGAUUUUUAGCUCCUUUGAAAUAAGGAAAUUGUUUAUUAAUUGAUUCCUUAAAUUAUUUAUUUUCCUUACAUGUGCCCCUCUCCUAUUAUAUAAAUAGGACCCCUCCCUUCACUAUAAAGGGCCGGACAUUCUAACUUUCAGAAUGACUCUUACAUUCUAAUAUUGCUCUCAUAUAUGCAUACAUGAAAUACUAAAAAUCACUCUUCUCGCUACUUUUAAAGAAUUAAGUUUUCCGAUAAAAAUAUUGAAGUUCCCCCUCUCUAAUUACCGUUUUGCUGUGUUGCUGUUCCGAUUGGAUUUGCCUCUAGUACUUCAUUGCUGAUAAAAAAUAUUCUGCUUAAUUGGUUAGUCCUUCUCGUUAGUGUAAUUUGAUUUUGCAUCAUUUGCAUGAUUAUAUGUUUGAAAAUAAAUAAAAAGGUAUCACCCAUGUCCGUUUUAUAUCCCAUCUCAUUUCCAUUGUGUGCUUUAAUAUGACUAUGUGUUUGCUUCAUGAUUCUGUCUAUAUAAUCGAUCUCAUAUAUAAUAUUUGCUUUGUUAUAUCUAUACGUACUCGUAGUAUUCCUUUCUUUGGUUUAACAGGUUUUGAACUUGAAGUUCAAGUUGAAGAGUUACCAUGAGACAAGAUUAUUUAAUUUAUGUAUUUGGAAUUCGCGCUUAUUAUUUAUUUUUGAUUUGUAAUAUUUGUAUAACUCUUGAACUAUCUCUAUAUGAUAUAACUUGGGGGAUCGUCUAAAGGGGGAGGGGUUUACAUGCUACUUGUUAUAUUAUCACAACUUGUUAGAGAACAAGCUCAUAGGAGUGUGAUUUAAUUGUGUGGUCAUUCCUUGCUCUAAAUUUACUUAAAAUAAAAUGGUCUUGCCGAUAUUUAAUUGCUUUAAGUUGUAAAUACGUUCUAUGUUGACCAUUUCAUGUUAACUAAUUAUAUCUAAAAUAAGUAAUAAACUUGUUAUAAUGCAAUCUUAGCAUGUAAUAAUAAAUAAUUAGUGUGACCUUUACAAGUUGAUCUAUGUUACCGUGUUGGUGAACCACAAUUUUCUUGUAUAAAAUGUAUAAAACUGGUAAAAUAAAUAAUUGAUUUGCUCAAUAUGUCACAUAUGUGAUUUAACUUAGAAGCCAUGCCUAUAGGAUUGAAUCAAAUAUUUGCAUGUCAAUAAAAUGCCCGUAAGUGUUCAUAAAUUUGUUUACAUCUAGAAAUCAUGCCUAUAGGUUCCUGAAAUAUAUUAUGUCUUACAUAGAAAUCAUGUAUAUAGGUUUAUAAAUCCGUUUUUCAGCAUGUUAAUUAAUUAAAUAGCAUUUUGUUUUAAAAUUUUGCCACUGUUCAAUGGCAUAAUUGUUUUCUGGCCAUUUAGAAUAAACAUUGAUAAUUGACUAUUGCUUUUCUGCCCAUAUAUUUCUAUCUAAACUAAUCUGCCCGGAUAAAAUCAGCUACUAAUAAUCUAUUACAUAUGCUACUUGCUACUCUAAUUCAACUCCGCUUUAAAUAUUAAUCUCUGCAUCAUAAUUUUGCCACUUAGAAUCAGCCAAUGAUUAAUUCAUGCAGCUAUAAACUGAUUGCUACUUAAAAUAAAUAUUUGUAUUAAUAAGUUGACCUGCUACUGCUCUAAAAAAUUUAUUUC
rnacentral:lncRNA from 1 species